GAGGAAUACACGAGUAAUCUACCUCUAAGUCGGAGAUAGCCUUGCGAAAGUGAGGGUAAUACCCGAUGUGUCCAUUUGGCGCAGGCUGAAAUGGGUAAAGACGGUCCGCAAGGAUUGUUGUUUAGAGCUGAGCUCGUGUCCUAUCAGCUAGUUGGUAGGGUAAUGGCCUACCAAGGCUAUGACGGGUAGCUGGCCUGAGAGGGUGGUCAGCCACAUGGGGACUGAGACACUGCCCCAACUCCUACGGGAGGCUGCAGUCGAGGAUCUUUAGCAAUGGGCGCAAGCCUGACUAUGCGACGCCGCGUGAGGGAUGAAGGAUUUCGGUUCGUAAACCUCUUUCGAUGGGAAAGAAACUCUGCAUUAACUGUGCAGACUGACGGUACCCAGAGAAGAAGCCACGGCCAACUCCGUGCCAGCAGCCGCGGUAAUACGGGGGUGGCGAGCGUUACUCGGAUUUACUGGGCGUAAAGCGGGUGUAGGUGGUCUUUCAAGUCGGAUGUGAAAUUUCCCGGCUCAACUGGGAAGGGUCAUUCGAUACUGUUAGACUGGAGGGCAGUAGAGGGAGGUGGAAUUCCCGGUGUAGUGGUGAAAUGCGUAGAUAUCGGGAGGAACACCAGUGGCGAAAGCGGCCUCCUGGCCUGUACCUGACACUGAGGCCCUAAAGCGUGGGUAGCAAACAGGAUUAGAUACCCUGGUAGUCCACGCCUUAAACGAUGGAUACUAGGUAUGGGGGGUAUCGACCCCCUCCGUGCCAAAGUUAACACCUUAAGUAUCCCGCCUGGGGAGUACGGUCGCAAGACUAAAACUCAAAGGAAUUGACGGGGGCCCGCACAAGCAGCGGAGCGUGUGGUUUAAUUCGAUGCAACACGAAGAACCUCACCCAGGCUUGACAUGACGGAAGUAGUGAACCGAAAGGGGAACUAACUGUUAAGUCAGUAGCCGCCACAGGUGCUGCAUGGUUGUCGUCAGCUCGUGCCGUGAGGUGUUGGGUUAAGUCCCGCAACGAGCGCAACCCUCGUUGCCAGUUGUUUUCUCUGGCGAGACUGCCCCGCAAGACGGGGAGGAAGGUGGGGAUGACGUCAAAUCAGCACGGCCCUUAUGCCUGGGGCUACACACACGCUACAAUGGGCGCUACAGUUGGUUGCAAUGGAGUGAUUCGGAGCUAAUCCUAAAAACCGUCCCCAGUUCAGAUUGUAGGCU
rnacentral:rRNA from 1 species